AGAGUUUGAUCCUGGCUCAGGAUGAACGCUGGCGGCAUGCCUAAUACAUGCAAGUCGAACGAGAGGAAGGAAAGCUUGCUUUUCUGAAUCUAGUGGCGAACGGGUGAGUAACACGUAGGUAACCUGCCCAUGUGCCCGGGAUAACUUCUGGAAACGGAUGCUAAAACCGGAUAGGUAGCAGACAAGCAUUUGACUGCUAUUAAAGUGGCCUUGGCCAUGAACAUGGAUGGACCUGCGGUGCAUUAGCUGGUUGGUGAGGUAACGGCCCACCAAGGCGACGAUGCAUAGCCGGCCUGAGAGGGCGGACGGCCACAUUGGGACUGAGACACGGCCCAAACUCCUACGGGAGGCAGCAGUAGGGAAUUUUCGUCAAUGGGGGGAACCCUGAACGAGCAAUGCCGCGUGAGUGAGGAAGGUCUUCGGAUCGUAAAGCUCUGUUGUAAGAGAAAAACGGCACUCAUAGGGAAUGAUGAGUGAGUGAUGGUAUCUUACCAGAAAGUCACGGCUAACUACGUGCCAGCAGCCGCGGUAAUACGUAGGUGGCGAGCGUUAUCCGGAAUGAUUGGGCGUAAAGGGUGCGUAGGUGGCAGAUCAAGUCUGGAGUAAAAGGUAUGGGCUCAACCCGUACUGGCUCUGGAAACUGAUCAGCUAGAGAACAGAAGAGGACGGCGGAACUCCAUGUGUAGCGGUAAAAUGCGUAGAUAUAUGGAAGAACACCGGUGGCGAAGGCGGCCGUCUGGUCUGGAUUCUGACACUGAAGCACGAAAGCGUGGGGAGCAAAUAGGAUUAGAUACCCUAGUAGUCCACGCCGUAAACGAUGAGAACUAGGUGUUGGGGGAAUAACUCAGUGCCGCAGUUAACGCAGUAAGUUCUCCGCCUGGGGAGUAUGCACGCAAGUGUGAAACUCAAAGGAAUUGACGGGGGCCCGCACAAGCGGUGGAGUAUGUGGUUUAAUUCGAAGCAACGCGAAGAACCUUACCAGGCCUUGACAUCCCUUGCAGAGGUAUAGAGAUAUAUCCGAGGUUAUCAAGGAGACAGGUGGUGCAUGGUUGUCGUCAGCUCGUGUCGUGAGAUGUUGGGUUAAGUCCCGCAACGAGCGCAACCCUU
rnacentral:rRNA from 1 species